rnacentral:rRNA from 1 species
CCUGUUGUUAAUAAUUUAAGGUCUGACUUACUCUAUGAUUAAUUAAAUAGCUGCGGUAUUUUGACCGUGCAAACGUAGCAUAAUCAUUAGUUUUUUGAUUGGAAGCUGGUAUGAAUGGUUGUUCAAGUGAACAACUGUCUCUGGGAAAUUUUAUUUGAAUUUUACUUUUUAGUGAGAAAGCUAAUUUUUUGUGACGAACAAAAAGAACCUGUAGAUUCUUAUAAGUUAAUUAUGAUGCGGUUUUUAGUGUUAUUUGCUUAAUUGUAAUUAGUUUGUUUUGUUGGGGUGACAGGAAAAUUUAUUUCAUUUUUGCAUUAAUUUUUUGCAGUGCAAUUAAAAUUACUUUUUCGUGUAGGGCUAUAAAAUUAAGUCUGUUAGGCAUUUAAAAUUUU